UAUCACUUUUGUGUCCAUUUGAUAUUCACAGAAUCUGGCGGACGCUAUGUGUACGGUACUUAAUCAAAACUUGUGCACUGAAUUGCAUGUUUUUCUCCUCUUGUCUUGCAUAGGCAGCCUGGUCUUGCCUUUUCCUUUCUGUCCAGGAGUCAGUUUCAUCUUCACGUGUCUGUCCUACCACCACAAGCCCUCUCUCCCUAAUAGAGAGCUACAGGUCCCCAUGUAUCCUGUUCUCUUUGCAGCACUUUGUAGCAGAUCAGCCAUGUUUCUACUUCUGCACUAUUCUGUAUCCUUCCUACAGGGGUUAAGUAAAUAGCCCAUAAUGUCUGUUCUGUACAGGCACGGGCUUUAGAACAGAAGGUCUGUGGGAAUUGCUAUUAAAUAGAGAGUUGUUGGGGAAUGGGAGUUCAUAAAAGCAAUACCGUGAAAUUGGAGGUGUGUCCAGGAAUUGGGCAUGUGUGACUAAGAGUUAAGGCCGGUGCUAAACAAUCAAACAAACAAACAAAACCACAGGUUUGCUUUGGAAACUAAUUUAAAGUUAAUAUCUAUUCCUCUCUUCUUUCUCAUACAAGGACACUAAAGUCCAAAGAGGAGGCUACAAAUAGUAGAUACUCAAUAUUAGCUGAAUGCAAAUGGUCCAGUCAAGCCAGUCCUUGGAUGGAUUCAUUCUCUAUGAUACUGAAUAUCAGAAAUUAACUAACUAGUUUGAAAAGGUUUGCAGUGGAGAACUACACAAAGUAAAAGGUUGAAUUCCAUGUAGCCCGGACCCUGGGUCUCCCUCUGUCUUGAUUCAGUUACUCAUUUGGGUAGAAAACACCCUCCGGUAGCUUCUGUGGAAGAGGGUGCAUUGAAGGUUGGAGGCUUUUCUAAAUAUCUGCUGGUCCUGACUGCCUGUAUUUGAGAACGAGUAUUGAAAAAUCUGAUUUUGGUGGGAAGGGUAAAGUUUGAUGAGCGCUGAGCUUUACUGGGGGAUUAAGAAGCCAGGAGCCAGAGAACUCCUGUUGGGCCUGCCCAGUGUUAGUCCACAGAGGAUCCAUCCCUUUCUAGCUUUGGAGGGAGCGAAUCAGCCAGAUCUGACAGCUUUCUGGGAGGUGAGUGGACAGAGGAGCCGGAGGUCUUGCAGACUGGUAUGUAGCGUGGAUGAAAAAAAAAAAAAAAGCGGGGGCAGAGGGGCGGAUUCUAUGGAAACUGACCUCACAGGGUGAUCCGAUCAUAAAUUCCUAACUGGGCAGGUAAGUAGUCAUGCCUGUAACUUUUCAUGCCUACAGUAUAGGCCUAUAACUUUCUAGUGGUUUAUCUUUGCCUUAAGCAAGCUCUGUCCCUGGUUUCUGUGCAUCAAGGUUAAUGCCUGUGAACAAAGGGACACAAAAUCUUGUUAACUGUCCUGUAAUCCUGUCCCCACCUUGCUUCUACCACCUCCAUGUUAUCUUCCCUAAAUUCCCUCCUAAAUUUCGAUUGCGUAAAAAAAAAUACUAAACUUUAUCUCUGGAGCAUCUGAGAUACUGCUUACUUGCUGGGAUACAUUGUCAGUUUGUCUCAAAUAAACUUAUAAAAAUUCUCUACAGGUUUGG